rnacentral:rRNA from 1 species
GAUGAACGCUAGCGGAAGGCAUAAUACAUGCAAGUCGAACGGAUGUAGCAAUACAUUAGUGGCGCACGGGUGCGUAACGCGUAUGCAACCUACCUUCAUCAGGGGGAUAACUACCCGAAAGGGUGGCUAACACCGCAUAAUACUAUUGAGUGGCAUCACUUGAUAUUUAAAUCUGAGGAGGAUGAAGAUGGGCAUGCGUCUGAUUAGCUAGUUGGUGUGGUAACGGCGCACCAAGGCGACGAUCAGUAGGGGAACUGAGAGGUUGGUCCCCCACACUGGCACUGAGAUACGGGCCAGACUCCUACGGGAGGCAGCAGUAGGGAAUAUUGGUCAAUGGUGGGAACACUGAACUAGCCAUUCCGCGUGCAGGAAGAAGGGUCUCUGACUUGUAAACUGCUUUAGCAAGGGAAGAAAAAGCUCAUGCGUGAGAAAUUGACGGUACCUUGAGAAUAAGCACCGGCUAACUACGUGCCAGCCGCCGCCGUAA